rnacentral:rRNA from 1 species
UACGGGGGGAGCAAGCGUUGUUCGGAUUUACUGGGCGUAAAGGGCGCGUAGGCGGCACUGCAAGUCAGUUGCGAAAUCUCCGGGCUUAACCCGGAAAGGUCAACUGAUACUGCAGGGCUAGAGUGCAGAAGGGGCAACUGGAAUUCUCGGUGUAGCGGUGAAAUGCGUAGAUAUCGAGAGGAACACCUGCGGCGAAGGCGGGUUGCUGGGCUGACACUGACGCUGAGGCGCGAAAGCUAGGGGAGCGAACGGG